CGUAAAAUGGGGCAAAACUCACUUAGCAACAUAACUUUUGGGCUCAAUUGCGGUCAUAAGUUGAGGACUACCUGUAGUUCAGUGAAUCAUACAAUUGUUCAACCAACCUGGCUUCCCACAUUGACUCUGCUUGUUGGAAGCCAGCUGGUAAAAGGCUGCAAAUGAUGAUCACGUGACCCAGGAAUACUGCAGCCGUCGUAAAUGCACACCAACUGCCGGAAUUCUGAUCACAUGACCGUGGGGAUAUGCUGCGACGGUCAUAGGUGCAAGGACCAGUUUUAAGCAAUUUUUUUCAGUGCGUUUGUAACUUCCAGUGGUCGCUAAAGAAAUGAUUGUAUGUCGAGGACUACCGGUAACAGUACAGGAAUAAGUGAGGCUUAGAUUCUGAAGAAAAAACUGGAGGACGCAAGGACACUCAGAUAAAUCCCAGAGAAUGAAGGAUCGCAAAGAUUAUUCUUCUUUUUGGUGGGGUGAAGAUAAAUGUUCUUUUACCCAACUUUAAUGAGAAUAGUUUAAAAUGCAGAAGGAACAUUAGAAAAUACAUUUUACAAACCGAUUCAAAUAAUUUGGAUGAUUUACAGUGCCUUCCAUUUUUCUACGAAAGAACCUCUUGUAAUUUCAUCAGCUGUUCCUUCACCCAAGGUAUUCACAUUUCCAGUAAGAAGCAUAAAUGCCCAUCUUUUUCACUGGUCAUAUCGACAUAUUUCCUUUCUUUUUCUUUUCCUUGUUUGUUUUAUUGUUCUAUUAUUUUACUUUCGCUUUAUUUAAACUUCCUUUUUAUUUGUUUGUUGUUUGUGUGGUUGUGAUCCACCUUAGUCCAUGAUAAGAUAGGUGGAAAAUAAAUUUAAUAAUAGUAAUAAUAAUAGUGGCAGGCAAGCACUAAUAAUAUGUAUUAUUUAAGGGGCACUGCUUGGCAUAAAAUUCAGAUGUUGUACUAGAAAAUUUAGAGGCUAAUUAUUGCUAACAAACACAUAGCAAAUUACUAUAAAAAUAAUUUCAGAACUUUGAAAAAUUCCUACUUACUAGAUUUACCAGUAGAGUUCCCAAACCAUCUUUAAAGGCAUUGCCACCCAUGGCCACUGGAAAAAUUAAACAUCACUUCUCAGUUUAACUUUCAUGACAGAUUAAAAUGCUCAGCAUUCAGGUGACUUUAGGUUGCCUUGGCUGCAGAUGACGUCAAGAUGUUUACAGUCCAAAAUAUUCAUCAUAAAAACAGUUUCAAACAAUUCAGGACCAGUAGCACAUGUACAUUACAAUGGAAUAUAAUAAAUCUGUCAAUAUUUCUUCACAGCACCACACUUUGAACCAGUGGAGGUUCGAAGUCUUCUGGAAAAACCAGUUUUCAUAUGUCUCCCAAAAGCCACAAAGUAAGCAGUUGUUUUCGGCUCAAGAGGGAACAGCACCAGCCAGCAAGGAAUGCCUACUUCUGAAUGCCUUUCUGUUGGAUCUCCCAGUAUGGGGCUCUCAUUUAUACACGAGCAGAUCCUACCUGGGACAGGUGAUCUCAAGGAUAACCAGAUCCCAAGCCAUGUAGGGCUUUGUAGAAAGCAACUGGGACAUUAAAUGGAAGCAAACAACCAAUCAAUGCAACUCUGUAGCAGUAAUGCUAGACCUGUCCAAACUUUUAGCAUACACUGCACAGGGAAGUUUUGGGAUGUUCUUUAUGGGCAUGUCAAAAUGAAUAACAGUAUAGGUAAUCCUCAACUCAUGAUUGGUUGCUGAGCUAUGAUUGUUCAAAGUUAUGACCACUGGACCAUAUUUCAUUCUGCACUUAGUUCCGGUUUUCAGCAAAACCUAUCCAAAGUGAACCAUGGAAAGCGCUUAACGGCACCUUGUUCACUUACUGACCGCUGCAAAACAAGUUACAAAAGCCAGACUUAUCUUUUCAGGGGCAGAAUAGAGA